rnacentral:rRNA from 1 species
UACGUAGGGGGCAAGCGUUGUCCGGAAUCAUUGGGCGUAAAGAGCGCGUAGGCGGCCCUGUAAGUCCGCUGUGAAAGUCAAGGGCUCAACCCUUGAAUGCCGGUGGAUACUGCAGGGCUAGAGUCCGGAAGAGGCGAGUGGAAUUCCUGGUGUAGCGGUGAAAUGCGCAGAUAUCAGGAGGAACACCGAUGGCGAAGGCAGGUCUCUGGGCCACUACUGACGCUGAGAAGCGAAAGCAUGGGGAGCGAACAGG